GAAACUAACAAGGAUUCCCCUAGUAGCGGCGAGCGAAGCGGGAAGAGCUCAAAUUUAUAAUCUGGCACCUUCGGUGUCCGAGUUGUAAUCUCUAGAAAUGUUUUCCGCGUUGGACCGCACACAAGUCUGUUGGAAUACAGCGGCAUAGUGGUGAGACCCCCGUAUAUGGUGCGGACGCCCAGCGCUUUGUGAUACAUUUUCGAAGAGUCGAGUUGUUUGGGAAUGCAGCUCAAAUUGGGUGGUAAAUUCCAUCUAAAGCUAAAUAUUGGCGAGAGACCGAUAGCGAACAAGUACCGUGAGGGAAAGAUGAAAAGCACUUUGGAAAGAGAGUUAACAGUACGUGAAAUUGUUGGAAGGGAAACGCUUGAAGUCAGACUUGCUUGCCGAGCAAUCGGUUUGCAGGCCAGCAUCAGUUUUCCGGGAUGGAUAAUGGUAGAGAGAAGGUAGCAGUUUCGGCUGUGUUAUAGCUCUCUGCUGGAUACAUCUUGGGGGACUGAGGAACGCAGUGUGCCUUUGGCGGGGGUUUCGACCUCNUCACACUUA
rnacentral:rRNA from 1 species